GCACAAGCGGUGGAGCAUGUGGUUAAUUCGACGCAACGCGAAGAACCUUACCAGGGCUUGACAUCCCCUGACCGCGUAUGAAAGUACGUUUUCACCCUCGGGUGACAGGGAGACAGGUGGUGCAUGGUUGUCGUCAGCUCGUGUCGUGAGAUGUUGGGUUAAGUCCCGCAACGAGCGCAACCCUCGCCUUUAGUUGCCAGCAUUCAGUUGGGCACUCUAGAGGGACUGCCGGUGUCAAACCGGAGGAAGGUGGGAUGACGUCAAGUCCUCAUGGCCUUUAUGUCUAGGGCUCCACACGUACUACAAUGGCCGGUACAAAGGGCAGCCACUCAGCGAUGAGGCGCUAAUCCCAUAAAGCCGGUCUCAGUCCGGAUCGCAGUCUGCAACUCGACUGCGUGAAGUUGGAAUCGCUAGUAAUCGUAGAUCAGCAUGCUACGGUGAAUACGUUCCCGGGCCUU
rnacentral:rRNA from 1 species